CAGAUUUCUGAAGGCAUACCGAUCUUUGAAAUGGCUCAAUGUUGAUGCCGUUAUGGUUCAUAAAUAUUUGCCUUCAUGGCAAAGUACCAGCCUAUUUCUCCGAUAAGUUUAUGCUUCGUUCCGCCAUAUACAUAACAGAUCAACUAGACAUAUUGCAAUGAUUUGAAUUUGCCCAAAUGUAGGCUUGCACCUGGGCAAAGAAUGUUUUCCUAGUAGGGGGGCAAAACUAUAUAAUGAUUUGUCUCGUGAUAGUGAUACUAUGAGAAAUUGAGAACACUAGAUUUUUUAAGAAAAGACUUCGAAAUGAACUCAGAAAGAACUCAUUGUAUAACAUUAUUAAUUAACUGUAGCGGGGAACAGCCCUUUUUAGGCAGCUAUAUAUGUCUAUGUAUAUAUGAUAAAUAUCUAAUAAAGUUUCUAUUCUAUUCUAUUUUUUUAGUCUACCUACAGUUUAGGGUAUAGACUAUAGUGUUACAAUAAUUAAUUAGUGUUGGUAAUUGUAUGGUUUCGAGUGCAAUUUGGAAAAACUACAUGCACGAGUGAGUUUUUAAACUCUAUGAAAACAAGACAUCUAUACUAUAUACAUAAAGAUAUUAGGAAAAGUAGUAAAUCCUGUUCCCGUAGUCAAAGACUUAUGCGUCAGUAUUGACUCGAUCUUAGCUAUAAUGAAAAUAUACUAUAAGGAAUUAGUUUCAAAUUGCAUGUUUAAACUAUCAAGAAUUAAUCGGAUCAAACAUGCACUUGCUAGAUAGAAAAACAAUUCUUAUAUGGAGCAAUACAUCUUAACAGAAUGUAAAGAAGCUGCAACUAGUGCAGUAUUUUGCUGCAAGGAUUGUCCUGGGACACCAUAUUUCCAUAUUUCAAAUCGUUUUUUUUUCUAUUUCGAGUCCGGGUUUUCAAAAGUCAAAUCCGGAUUUUCUCAAAGAUGAAUCCGGAUUGUUUUCAGGUCCGGGUUUUUCUCGAGUCCGGAUUUUCUUCGAGUCCGGUUCCAGGUUUCGACGUAUGCCACAGAUAUCUCCUCUUUUGUCAACUUAAUCAUACUCUAACCUAUUCAUUUUUAUAUAGUUGUGUAAAUAGUGUUCUAGUAAUCUAGUCCUUGUUUUUAAUGUUGUUUUGUAUCAGGUUUGUCUUCACAUGGGACUCAUCACUCAUGUCCUGUUGACCAUACCUUCAAUCAUUGUUAUAUAUUUUAUAACACUUUUGUAUGAUUGUAAAGCUAAUCAGAUAAACAUCCAUUUCCAACGAAGGUCCAUGCUAUUUUCAGUCUUUCCAUAGUUUUGAAAACAAUUUACAGCGUUUGUUGUAUGCCAGCAGGGACGUGUUGGCUAGGGACGAGCCGACGAGAAUUCGUUGCGAACCCUUUGCCAUCAUGGGCCCCUAAAAUUAAAACUUUGGAAAAGAUAAAAAUAUAGAUUUUAAUUUUGAAAAUCAAGAUUAAGAUAUUGCAAUUAAUUUCUAUCUUAAAAAUCUAAAUUUACGAAGAUAUUUCCCAUCAGACGUUGCUCAUUCGUCGUCCUUUCCAAGACCCCAGCACGUCCCUGUAUGCCAGCAUAGUCUCUGUAAUACUCUCCUCCACAGAACCGCGACUGAUAAACACGAAUUCAAAGGUAGCUAUGCAAUGGUUUCUGUAUUAACCUUGCCCUCUGAACGGAUGUUUUGUAAGAAAGGAGGUAUCGUUUGAUAUAGACCUACGUAAUUACCAUGAAAUAAACACGAAAGGUAGCUAUGGUUUCUGUAACCUUGCCCUCCAGAACGGAUGUUCGUAUUAAAGAAAGGACGGUAUCGUUUGAUACCGACCUACGUAAUUACUUAACACACCAUGAUCGCUGGAACUGAUAAACACUUAUCACGCGCAUAUUGUUUGUCCGCGGCUGAGACGCGCGAGUUAAACAGGUCGAAUAAAAAAUUGCAUAUAUUACAUAUAUGUGUUGAGCUAAAUGUGACGCGGGGAAAAAACUGAAUAAGAUCAAAGACUUAAUCCAAAGGUAGGAUAUUUGAUAAUAUACUGGAACAAACACUUUGAAAUUAUGAAAUCCGACCGUUUUAAAGAAUGGUGCAUUGUGUUAUAGCUUUUGAUGAAUUGAUAUUUGCUCAAACCAAUUAGGUUUAUUGAAUUUUUAAAUAUUAUCUAUUUUUAUUAGAAAUUUCUACAGUAAUGCUGGCGUUUAGUGAUAUGAAAAACAUAUGUGACAAAUUUUAAUAAUUCACAGAUGAGAUCUCAUAUAAAUUAUAUAAUUUUGAAAAUUUGGUAAGGAGCGCUGUAUUACAUAAAAUUGUACUAUCGUUUUUUUACAUUAGCAGUUGAAGUAUCGUUGUUCAUAUAUUGUUGCGCACUUAUUGUAUUUUGGCCGCAAAUAUUGUGCGUGACAUAUAAGUCGGAUUUCAUUUCCUGACCAACCAACACAUAAUAUCACGCUGUUUCAACCAUGCAUAAGUUUUCCUUACUUGUGUAUUAAAUACAAGAUUACAGGGUGUCCCAAAACUAAAACCCAAAACUAUUGAAAUAACGUAUUGUUACAAUUUGGGUGCAUAUAUUGAAUAUUAACUUAUUAAGAAAUUAAAAUAUCUUUGCAAAGCGCACGAUUUUCUGCUCUACGCCUUCGGGAAUUUAAAGCAGCUUCUUAAUUAAACAGUUUCUUUAUGCAUAAAAUUUACUUAUAUCACUUGUGAGUUCAGCAGAGUGCUGAGGCAUUUAAAUUCUAGCAAUACGUUAUUUCAAUAGUUUUGGAUUUUUGGGAUGUGUGUUACAUGAAAUAGAAUUGUUGCUGUAUGCCUGCAUCACACCUGUUUGUAUAAAUAUGCGUUGCGCGAAGUACGCUUUUUCUAUAGCUUAUUUAUUUACAAGAUUCUCCGAACAUAACAGACAUAAAUUCGACUAGACAAAAUUUACAUACACACAGGCAUGGACUGACCACACAAGCAAUCUCCAAUUUGAAUAACGGGGUCCCGUAAGUGCAAAUAGUACGUGCCUUUGAAAUAGUUUCAACAUUCGGGAAAAUUAGCGCGUCCGAAGCUAAAAAUUCCUAUCUUUUGACGUUCAUUAACUAAUCACGCGCUUUCUGAUGACGCAAAUACAAUUAUUAAAAUAUUCUGAAUUGUCAACAACUGAUGAGUAUGCUGGUGAAGUUCCAUAUAGUUUCUCAUGCAGUAACAGAAUAUAUAUUAUCAUAGUUAAUAGAAUAGAUGGUUUGGAAACUCAUUAGAAUAACAAUAUAACUCAUUAUCUAUGUUAGUCAACGUUUAUUCAUAAAUAUGGUCCUUCACCGUCACGUGUGUAUUGUAUUUUUGACAAAUCCACCAAUAGCAAUUUCCAAUUUGCCCUAUUGUUCCAGUCACGGAUAGGUAACUUUCCUAAAACAUUGCUAUUGAUUAGUUGGGCAAAAAUACAAUGCACACGUGACGGUGAAGGACCAGAUUUAUGAAUAAACGUUGACUAACAUAGAUAAUGAGUUUUAUUGUUAUUCAAACCAUCUAUUC